rnacentral:rRNA from 1 species
CCUACGGGUGGCAGCAGUGGGGAAUAUUGCACAAUGGGGGAAACCCUGAUGCAGCGACGCCGCGUGAGUGAAGAAGUAUUUCGGUAUGUAAAGCUCUAUCAGCAGGAACGAGACAAGACGGUACCUGACUAAGAAGCCCCGGCUAACUACGUGCCAGCAGCCGCGGUAAUACGUAGGGGGCAAGCGUUAUCCGGAAUCACUGGGUGUAAGGGGAGCGUAGACGGCUGUGCAAGCCUGAAGUGAAAGGCGGGGGCCCAACCCCUGGACUGCUUUGGGAACUGUACGGCUGGAGUGCAGGAGAGGUAAGUGGAAUUCCUAGUGUAGCGGUGAAAUGCGUAGAUAUUAGGAGGAACACCAGUGGCGAAGGCGGCUUACUGGACUGUAACUGACGUUGAGGCUCGAAAGCGUGGGGAGCAAACAGGAUUAGAUACCCUAGUAGUC